AUUUAUAAAAUAUAUUUUUGUAUAUUUAACUUCCAAUUAAAAAGACUGAAAAUUUCAGUAUAAAUA
rnacentral:tRNA from 1 species